GGGGGGGGGGGGGGGGGGGGGGGGGGGGGGGGGGGGGGGGGGGGGGGGGGGGGGGGGGGGGGGGGGGGGGGGGGGGGGGGGGGGGGGGGGGCCCACCGCCGCCACCGGGCGUACCGGUGCUCCGCGGCCGAGGUACGCGCCUCCGGGCACCGGCUGCAGUGUGUGUAGCGUGACCACUCCGCAAAACGGGGUCAGAAGGACUCGCGGCUGGGAGCCGAACAUGUGUUAUUUCGCCAUUUCAUGUUGAGUGUCCCCACCAUCGGAGAGGGACACACCGUCCUGCGGGAUGCCCUCAGCCGCCCCGAGAGGUGCGAGGCCCGGAGCCAUCCGCUGGCAGACACGUUCAAUCCUCAGCAAAGAGGCCUCCAGAAAUUAAAAGAAAACACAACACACACACACAAAGAAAAAUAAAAAGCAAACAAACCCAUCCGCCGAACAACACCAAACACGCUGGCUCCCCUCAGGAGCCGCGAAGGCGAGCUGACAGCGUACGCCAAACCGUGACACCGCUCCCGGAGUCUCACCCGUUCUCUCUCCAGGAGGAGGCGGCCGCCCAUGCCGGGAGCGGGACUGUUCUCCCGGCUGCGGGCGCUCGGGAACUCCGGGAAAUGUCACUCCCGGCGUGUGCCGCGGUCCGGCGGGAGCGGGGUGGGCGGGGGGUCCUCACCGCCGCCUGCAGCCUCGGGCGGGCGGGCAGCGCCCAGCGCCUCCCCAACUCCUCACCCCUCGCCUCAGGAACCCUUCACCUCAGGAACCCUUCACCUCAGGAAACCCUCAUCUCAGGAAGCCCUCGCCUCAGGAACGCGCCAUCCCCUCGCCUCAGGAGCCCCUCACCGCAGUUGCCCCUCAGGAAAGGCUCGCUUGGUGCCAGAGGAAUGGGAAGGAGUCGCUGUCCCCUCACCUUUGUGCAGGUCUGUGACCUCCCAGCCGCAGCAGUGCCGUGUCAGCGCAGGAAGAAGGGAAAGAUCCGCAGGUCUGUGAACCUGAGAGAGGAGAGGGAAGGCUGCCAAUCUCGGUAGAAGGGAGGAUGCAGAGAGAAGGCAGAGGACGAGGGACAGCAGCAGCAGUGAGGGCACACAUCUUCCAUGAAGCUCAUAGUUUUUGUUUGAGGUAGGAAAUAUGUUUCAGACAAAGUUUUCAGUCCAAGUGUAGCAUUGUCGACUUGUCUGUGACCAUGCAUAUAUGCAUAUUUCCAGUCUGGUUGGUUUUGUUGUUUGAGGGGCCUUUUUUUUUGAGGAUGUAAGUAAAGAAAAGUAUAAUUUGAGGGGCCCUUUUUUUUGAGGAUGUAAGUAAAGAAAAGUAUAAACCUUUAUCUACAGUCGUUUUUUUUUUUCUUUCAAUGCUUAUGUGAAAGGUUUGAUCUAAUAUGUAUAUGUGAGUUUAUUCUUUAGGUCUUUCUAAAUUUUUUUUUUUUUCUUUCAAUGCUUAUAUGAAAGGUUUGAUCUAAUAUGGAUAUGUGAGUUUAUUCUUUAGGUCUUUCUAAAUUCAAAGGAAGAGCUGAGUUUUCUUUAAGGAGGAACUGAAACUUACUUGAAAGGAAGUGAUAGAUGUAGUUGGCUCAUUGUUAUCUUAAGCAUUUCCCUUCUUUGUUCCACUGGAGAUAGAUGAAUAGCUGCUCUGCAUGGACAUACAUGACUCUCAAGCUCUGGUUUCUGGUAAUUAAAUCAUUCAAGGUGUGAUUGAGUCAAACUCCAGCAAAAGGGAUUUUAUUGUUGAAGGAACCCAGCAGGCCUCACUUUUGCAACACUUUCUUGGCUUAUCUGCUGUUGGCAUCCUGGUCUUUUCCUCCCUACUCCUUAAUGACAGGGGGUACAGUGGGCAUCAAAACCCCCAUCCUUUGUGCACAGAGUAUUGGAAGCUGUCUUUCAAAGGAGAAAGGCUCACACACCUGUGCUGCAGAUCGCAGGCACAUCUUUGUUUCUUAAAUAACUCAGGAAUGUGUUGCUCAAAUUUAACCACACUUGACUGAGGCAACUGGUCAUUGCUGUAGGGGAGGGCCAAAAAUAGCUGCCACUGAUGAGGGCAUGGAGAGGCAAGGCAGCCACUGCAGUAGCUUUCAGCAGCAGGUGGCUGUCAGCCAGUCACACUCAGGCCUAAAAUUCUUCAUAUGGUUAUAUCUCCUCUAUCAGAACUGCCACAGGGAAUACAAUGCUCAUACCUCAGGAAAAAGUUGUGAUGGGGGCAGGUAAAGAAUGGUUAAAAACAUGGGCUCCUGCUUUCCAUGGGCUCCUGCUUUCAUCAGUUCUUUGAGCAGUGAAAUGGUUCACAGACACACAAAGCUUUAAGUACACCCUGAAGUAUUCAAGGCAUUAACGAAAAUCCAAAGCAUCUUGUUCAUUUCAAUUACUUCUCCACCCACAUUCUUCAUUGAAUUAAAGGAUAUCCUACACACUCUUUUGUUUCACUUAUUCCCCAAAGAUUGUUUCAUCGUACACCAAGCAAGGAUCUUCAGCAUAUUCAUAGUAACGUCUCAGUCACGGCAUUCAGCAUGAUGAUGUUCCUGGCACAAGGGAUGUUAUUAAAGGAUUGAAGAGAUGAAUAGAUGGCAGAUUUCCCCAGGGCAGCACAUCAGAAAAUGGACAUCAAAAGAACCUGGCUCAAAAUGCAGUGGGUAUUACUGGCUCCUGACAAAUCCCACUCAUUUCUGAACAGUAACACUGUCAGGCUGUGUUAGGGAUAUGUCCAUCCCAGAAUACCUCCAUAAAACUGUUUGCUUAUCCCUACAAGCACUCCCCUUUCAACACCCACCCCUCUAGUUGAAGAUAGCAUAAUCUUCAUUAGUCAAAAGUAGUUUGGGCACAAAUCCAAAUACAAUCUUACUCAAAUAAUUCCCAGCAUCCCAAGGCUCAGGCUUUGUAGCCAUCAAAAUUACCUUUUUUUCCCAUCAUUUUUCAUUAACUCAUCUGGAUUGCCCUAGAAACCCUGAACGUGUGAGUCUCUUUCACAAGACAUGUAGGUUGUUACUUAUUACAAGUCAUCUUCACAGACCCCAACAGGAUAACAGACCACAAUCUGUGACAGGAAAUUUUAAAAAUUUCUAUUUCCUUUUUUACCAAGAACUGGUUGGAAUUUAUUUUCUUAAAGCUAUUUCAAACUGUGAAUAACAGUUCCUGAGCAGGCAUUGAGGAGGGAGAAGCACAUAUACUGACAUGAUGUCAUCACUUGAAUUAUUCUGCUGAGAUAUAAAAAUAGUUUGGAAGGCAGCACGGCCAAAAUUACUAUAUCAUUUAAUUGCAACCUACUUUCAUGACAGGCCAUCAGUUAAUUAAGAGUGUCAAAAUGCUGAAUUGCCUCCAGGUUCUACAUGUUUUGCAAAUGACAUGGAAGUCAUCUUUUUAAAUAGCAACAGCUUAACUGAAAAUGUAGAACCCAUAGUGAAACACUUUGAAAAAUGAGGCAGUCAACUAAGCUGACCUGAAAUUCCCCACGCCAUAAAUUCACUAGGGAAGACAGUUGUAACUCAUUUAAUUUACUCUCUGAAGAUCACAUUCACAUGACAUCAAAACUAUUUUUCUGAAAUUGAUACAAUUUUGAAGUGUUAUAAAACAGGAGCCUGAAGUGACUGUGUUCUGUGCAGGUACACACAGGGCCUGGCUCCAGCCCCUUCCCUCCAGGCUGAUACAAUACAGGCAACUGUAAAGCAGGAAAAGGCUUAGAAAAAAGGGUUUUUUUCCUUUAGAAAUAAGUCACCUUCACUGAUUCUAAAGUACCACAUAUGACAUGAGAGAAAAUUCUCUGUAAAGGGAAUAAUGUUGCUAUAAACUUAGAAAAUUAAGGAAUUGGUUUACCUAUUUGUUAUAUCUGAUGCCAAAUCCCAUAUUCUCUUCAUAGAGUUAUGUAAUUUUUUAUUAAACAAGUGAUU
rnacentral:lncRNA from 1 species